rnacentral:rRNA from 1 species
CACGACUACAUUAGAUACCCGGGUAGUCCCAGCCCUAAACGAUGCGCGUUAGGUGUAUCGGUGACCACGAGUCACCGAGGUGCCGAAGGGAAACCGUGAAACGUGCCGCCUGGGAAGUACGGUCGCAAGGCUGAAACUUAAAGGAAUUGGCGGGGAGCACCACAAGAGGUGGAGGCUGCGGUUCAAUUGGACUCAACGCCGGAAAACUCAUCGGGAGCGACAGCAGUAUGAUUGCCAGGUUGAUGACCUUGCUUGACAAGCUG